rnacentral:rRNA from 1 species
AACGAACGCUGGCGGCGUGCCUAACACAUGCAAGUCGAGCGAGAAAGCUCCUUCGGGAGUGAGUAAAGCGGCGCACGGGUGAGUAACACGUAGGUAACCUACCCUCGAGCCUGGGAUAACCUACCGAAAGGUAGGGCUAAUACCGGAUAUGACCACGGGAGGCCACGGCUCCUGCGGUGAAAGAUGGCCUAAGCUUGCAAGCUAUCACUUG